rnacentral:rRNA from 1 species
AAACGGCGUCUAAUACCGGAUACGAGCUGCAGGCAUCUUCAGCAGCUGGAAAGAACUUCGGUCAGGGAUGAGCUCGCGGCCUGUCAGCGUUGGUGAGGUAAUGGCCCACCAAGGCGUCGACGGGUAGCCGGCCUGAGAGGGUGACCCCACACUGGGACUGAGACACGGCCCAGACUCCUACGGGAGGCAGCAGUGGGGAAUAUUACAAUGGGCGAAAGCCUGAUGCAGCAACGCCGCGUGAGGGACGACGGCCUUCGGGUUGAACCUCUUUUAGCAGGGAAGAAGCGAAAGUGACGGUACCUGCAGAAAAAGCACCGGCUCUACGUGCCAGCAGCCGCGGUAAUACGUAGGGUGCAAGCGUUAUCCGGAAUUAUUGGGUAAAGAGCUCGUAGGCGGUUUGUCGCGUCUGCUGUGAAAACCCGAGGCUCAACCUCGGCUGCAGUGGGUACGGGCAGACUAGAGUGCGGUAGGGGAGAUUGGAAUUCCUGGUGUAGGUGGAAUGCGCAGAUAUCAGGAGGAACACCGAUGGCGAAGGCAGAUCUCUGGGCCGUAUGACGCUGAGGAGCGAAAGGGUGGGGAGCAAACAGGCUUAGAUACCCUGGUAGUCCACCGUAAACGUUGGGAACUAGUUGUGGGGUCCAUUCCACGGAUUCCGUGACGCAGCUAAC